GCCUCUGUAGCUCAAUGGAAGAGCAGUUCCGUCCUAAGGAAAGGGUUGGGGGUUCGAGUCUCUCCAGGGGCA
rnacentral:tRNA from 1 species